GACGAACCGUGCGAACGUUAUCCGGAAUUAUUGGGCGUAAAGGGUGUGUAGGUGGCGCCGUAAGUCGGGUGGGAAAUCUCGGGGCUUAACUCCGAAACUGCAUUCGAUACUGCGGUGCUUGAGGACUGGAGAGGAGACUGGAAUUCAUGGUGUAGCAGUGAAAUGCGUAGAGAUCAUGAGGAAGACCAGUGGCGAAGGCGGGUCUCUGGACAGUUCCUGACACUGAGACACGAAGGCCAGGGGAGCAAACGGG
rnacentral:rRNA from 1 species